rnacentral:snRNA from 1 species
UUUGCGGAAUUACGUUUUUCCG